GAUGAACGCUGGCGGCGUGCCUAAUACAUGCAAGUCGAGCGAAUGGAUUAAGAGCUUGCUCUUAUGAAGUUAGCGGCGGACGGGUGAGUAACACGUGGGUAACCUGCCCAUAAGACUGGGAUAACUCCGGGAAACCGGGGCUAAUACCGGAUAACAUUUUGAACCGCAUGGUUCGAAAUUGAAAGGCGGCUUCGGCUGUCACUUACGGAUGGACCCGCGUCGCAUUAGCUAGUUGGUGAGGUAACGGCUCACCGAGGCAACGAUGCGUAGCCGACCUGAGAGGGUGAUCGGCCACACUGGGACUGAGACACGGCCCAGACUCCUACGGGAGGCAGCAGUAGGGAAUCCUCCGCAAUGGACGAAAGUCUGACGGAGCAACGCCGCGUGAGUGAUGAAGGCUUUCGGGUCGUAAAACUCUGUUGUUAGGGAAGAACAAGCGCUAGUUGAAUAAGCUGGCACCUUGACGGUACCUAACCAGAAAGCCACGGCUAACUACGUGCCAGCAGCCGCCGUAA
rnacentral:rRNA from 1 species